rnacentral:snRNA from 1 species
CAUUUCAAUUUCACGGUACAAA